UGGGGGAUAUUGCACAAUGGGCGAAAGCCUGAUGCAGCGACGCCGCGUGGGGGAUGAAGGCCUUCGGGUUGUAAACUUCUUUUGCUCUGAACAAGGCGCACCAUGGGGUGUGUUGAGUGUAGGGGUUGAUUAGCGCCGGCUAACUACGUGCCAGCAGCCGCGGUAAUACGUAGGGCGCGAGCGUUGUCCGGAAUUAUUGGGCGUAAAGGGCUUGUAGGUGGCUGGUUGCGUCUGUCGUGAAAGCUCAUGGCUUAACUGUGGGUUUGCGGUGGGUACGGGCUGGCUUGGGUGCAGUAGGGGAGGCUGGAAUGCCUGGUGUAGCGGUGGGAUGCGCAGAUAUCAGGAGGAAUACCGGUGGCGAAGGCGGGUCUCUGGGCUGUUACUGACACUGAGGAGCGAAAGCAUGGGGAGCGAACAGG
rnacentral:rRNA from 1 species